CGGCGCGGAUGACGGCAAUGUAGUCGCGCGAGGACGCCGUGAUUGCUCCUUGAUUCAGCGGCGGACGGGUGAGUAAUGCCUAGGAAUCUGCCUGGUAGUGGGGGACAACGUUUCGAAAGGAACGCUAAUACCGCAUACGUCCUACGGGAGAAAGCAGGGGACCUUCGGGCCUUGCGCUAUCAGAUGAGCCUAGGUCGGAUUAGCUAGUUGGUGGGGUAAUGGCUCACCAAGGCGACGAUCCGUAACUGGUCUGAGAGGAUGAUCAGUCACACUGGAACUGAGACACGGUCCAGACUCAUACGGGAGGCAGCAGUGGGGAAUAUUGGACAAUGGGCGAAAGCCUGAUCCAGCCAUGCCGCGUGUGUGAAGGAAGGGCUUCGGAUUGUAAAGCACUUUAAGUUGGGGAGGGAGGGCAUUAACCUAAUACGUUAGGGUUUUUGACGUUACCGACCGAAUAGGCACCGGCUAACCUCUGUGCAAGCUGCCUCGGUAUUACGGAGGGUGCAAGCGUUACGCGGAAUUUCCUGGGCGUAAAACCGCGCGUAGCUCUUUUGUUAAGCUGCAUGUAAAAAGCCCCGGGCUCAACCUGGGAACUGCAUUCCAAACUGGGAAGCUAGAGUACGGUAGAGGGCGCGUGGAAUUUUCCUGGUGUAGCGGUAGAACGCGUAGAUAUCGGUAAGGAACAUCAGCCGCCGAAGGCAACCACCUUGGACUUGACACUGCACACCUGAUGUGGCGAAACGCUGUGGGAGCCAAACACGAUUAGAUACCCUGGUAGUCCCACGCUCGCUAAACGAUGUCAACUAGCCUUUGGCCAUCCUGAGAAUUUACGUCGCGCCGCUAACGCACUCAAGUUUGACCGACUGGGAGUACGUCCGCAGUGAGACUCGAACGUAUUGAUCGGAGUCCGCACACACGCGUGGACCGUUGACUCACUUCGAGUCACCGUAGAGAUCGUACAGCAUGACUGCGCGAGGAACGGC
rnacentral:rRNA from 1 species